rnacentral:rRNA from 1 species
CCACGGCUAACUACGUGCCAGCAGCCGCGGUAAUACGUAGGUGGCAAGCGUUAUCCGGAAUUAUUGGGCGUAAAGCGCGCGCAGGUGGUUUCUUAAGUCUGAUGUGAAAGCCCACGGUUCAACCGUGGAGGGUCAUUGUAAACUGGGAGACUUGAGUGCAGAAGAGGAAAGUGGAAUUCCAUGUGUAGCGGUGAAAUGCGUAGAGAUAUGGAGGAACACCAGUGGCGAAGGCGACUUUCU